GAUGAACGCUGGCGGUAUGCUUAACACAUGCAAGUCGAACGGAAGUCUUCGGACUUUAGUGGCGGACGGGUGAGUAACGCGUGAGAAUCUGCCUUUAGGACGGGGACAACAGUUGGAAACGGCUGCUAAAACCCGAUGUGCCCUUCGGGGUGAAAUAUUUAUAGCCUGAAGAUGAGCUCGCGUCUGAUUAGCUAGUAGGUGAGGUAAAGGCUCACCUAGGCGACGAUCAGUAACUGGUCUGAGAGGAUGACCAGUCACACUGGGACUGAGACACGGCCCAGACUCCUACGGGAGGCAGCAGUGGGGAAUUUUCCGCAAUGGGCGCAAGCCUGACGGAGCAAUACCGCGUGAGGGAGGAAGGCUCUUGGGUUGUAAACCUCUUUUAUCAGGGAAGAACACAAUGACGGUACCUGAUGAAUCAGCAUCGGCUAACUCUGUGCCAGCAGCCGCGGUAAUACAGAGGAUGCAAGCGUUAUCCGGAAUUAUUGGGCGUAAAGCGUCCGCAGGUGGUUAUGAAAGUUUGCUGUCAAAGCGCGAGGCUCAACUUCGUAUCGGCGGUGAAAACUUCAAGACUAGAGCUAGGUAGGGGUCACGGGAAUUCCCAGUGUAGCGGUGAAAUGCGUAGAUAUUGGGAAGAACACCAGCGGCGAAAGCGCGUGACUGGGCCUGAGCUGACACUCAUGGACGAAAGCUAGGGGAGCGAAAGGGAUUAGAUACCCCUGUAGUCCUAGCCGUAAACGAUGACAACUAGGUGUUGCCCG
rnacentral:rRNA from 1 species